AGAAUCAACGCUGGCGGCGUGCCUAACACAUGCAAGUCGAACGAGAAAGUGGAGCAAUCCAUUAGUAAAGUGGCGCACGGGUGAGUAACACGUGACUAACCUACCUUUUAGUGGGGGAUAACCUAGGGAAACCUGGGCUAAUACCGCAUAAUACCUACGGGUCAAAGCAGCAAUGCGCUGAAAGAGGGGGUCGCGGUCGAUUAGUUAGUUGGAAGGGUAAUGGCCUACCAAGACUGUGAUCGAUAUCCGGCCUGAGAGGGCGCACGGACACACUGGAACUGAAACACGGUCCAGACUCCUACGGGAGGCAGCAGUGGGGAAUUUUGCGCAAUGGGGGAAACCCUGACGCAGCAACGCCGCGUGGAGGAUGAAGUCCCUUGGGACGUAAACUCCUUUCGAUCGGGACGAUAAUGACGGUACCGGAAGAAGAAGCCCCGGCUAACUUCGCGCCAGCAGCCGC
rnacentral:rRNA from 1 species